AUAAGAUAUCAAGGGCAACAGGUGAAUGCCUUGGCGCUGAGAGGCGAUGAAAGACGCGGUAAGCUGCGAUAAGCAUCGGGGAGGAGCUAAACAUCCUACGAUCCGAUGAUUUCUGAAUGGGGAAACCCGAUGGGAGUCAUGUCCCAUCAUCCUGAGCUGAAUACAUAGGCCCAGAGAAGCCAACCCGGGGAAGUGAAACAUCUCAGUACCCGGAGGAAGAGAAAUCAAACGAGACUCCCAAAGUAGCGGCGAGCGAAAUGGGAAGAGCCCAAACCGAGUGGUUUCGACCAUUCGGGGUUGUAGGGCCGGCAUACGCGAUUCUGGAGUAGGCAGAGGAAGUGAGCUGGAAAGCUCCGCCACAGCGGGUGAUAGCCCCGUACUCGAAACCGAAAAGGACGCAGCCGGUACCUGAGUACUGCGAGGCACGUGAAACCUCGUGGGAAUCUAGGGGGACCAUCCUCUAAGGCUAAGUACUCCUCAGCGACCGAUAGUGGACUAGUACCGUGAGGGAAAGGUGAAAAGAACCCCUGUUAGGGGAGUGAAAUAGAAUCUGAAACCUGUUGCCUACAAGCUGCGAGAGCUGCUUUUUGCAGUGAUCGCGUGCCUUUUGUAUAAUGAGUCAGCGAGUUACUCUACCGUGCGAGGUUAAGCGAAAGCGUAGCCGUAGUGAAAGCGAGGCUUAAUAGGCCGACUAGUACGUUGGAGUAGACCCGAAACCGGGUGAUCUAUCCAUGAGCAGGUUGAAGCAAGGGUAAAGCCUUGUGGAGGACCGAACCGUCAACGGCUGAAAACGUUCCGGAUGACUUGUGGAUAGGGGUGAAAGGUCAAUCAAACCCGGUGAUAGCUGGUUCUCCCCGAAAUAUAUUGAGGUAUAGCCUCGGGAAUUGAUUAGCGGAGGUAAAGCACUGACAGAGCUAGGGGUCCUACCAGAUUACCAAACUCUAUCAAACUCAGAAUGCCGCUUAAUUGUAUCCCGGGAGUCAGACGGCGGGUGCGAAGGUUCGUCGUCAAAAGGGAAACAGCCCAGACCAACAGCUAAGGUCUCCAAAUCCAUGCUCAGUGGUGAAGGUAGUGGAACCGUUCAGACAGCCAGGACGUUGGCUUAGAAGCAGCCAUCGUUUAAAGAAAGCGUAAUAGCUCACUGGUCUAAUGGCUCUGCGCCGAAAAUGUAACGGGGCUAAGCAUGGUACCGAAGCUUUGGCAAUCUCCUUUGGAGAUUGGGUAGGGGAGCGUUCGCUGCGGGCUGAAGGUGUGUCGGAAGGCAUGCUGGACUGCAGUGAAGUGAUUAUGCUGACAUGAGUAACGAUAAAAUAUGUGAAAAACAUAUUCGCCGAAAACCCGAGGUUUCCUGGGUAAAGGUAAUCUUCCCAGGGUUAGUCGGAUCCUAAGGUGAGGGUGAAAGCCGUAACCGAUGGAAAACAGGUUAAUAUUCCUGUACUUGUUGUGUAGCGCGAUGGAGGGACGCAGGAAGAUAGGCGGGCCGGGUGUUGGAUAUCCCGGUGCAAGCGUGUAGGAAUAUCCGGUAGGCAAAUCCGCCGGACGAAUCUGAGACGCGAGUCCGUGGGCGCAAGCCCUGAAGCCGUUGAGUCUAUGCUGCCUAGAAAAGCUCCUAAGUUUAUCCACAGCAAUCCGUACCGCAAACCAACUCAGGUGGGUGGGAUGAACAAUCCAAGGCGCUCGAGAGAACUCUGGCCAAGGAACUCGGCAAAAUAACCCCGUAACUUCGGAAGAAGGGGUGCUCUCUAGGGUGACAUGUUUAACAUAUGAAGCCCCGGGGAGCCGCAGUGAAUUGGUGGUGGCGACUGUUUACUAAAAACAUAGGUCUGUGCGAAGUCCUAAAGACGACGUAUACGGACUGACGCCUGCCCGGUGCUGGAAGGUUAAAAGGAGGGGUCAGCGCAAGCAAAGCUCCGAAUUGAAGCCCCAGUAAACGGCGGCCGUAACUAUAACGGUCCUAAGGUAGCGAAAUUCCUUGUCGGGUAAGUUCCG
rnacentral:rRNA from 1 species